rnacentral:rRNA from 1 species
UUAAACGUUGAUAGCACGUUGAAUACACCGGUUCUCGUCCGACAACCGAAGUUAGCAACGUCAGGCGCGGUCAGUACUUGGAUGGAUGACCGUAUGGAAAGACUGCGUGACGUUGACU